GUUAUUAGAGAUGAUGGAGGUUAAAAGGAUGCUGCUUAACAAAGAUAAAAGCUCACUUAGACUAGUAAUCUUUUUUUCUUUUUAAAGAAACAUAGGAUUACAGAAAUAUUUAAUGAAUUAAUAAGGUACUUCUCAACACAUUUUUUUCAUUGCCAACUAGUUUUUCCAGGUUAUGUACAUAAUUGAAAAAGUGUUGUGUUGCGUGUUAUGCUUUGAUGCAGUCUUGUUUUGUAAUCCAUUGCUUUCAAAUUUCUAUCAUCAUCUUCUAAUUAUCUUAAAUUUGCACUGUGCUACUAGAAUAGAAUGAUGGUAUUAUUACUAUUAUUACUGGCAGCAGAAUUGAAACCUGGAGUAUAAGUGGUUUGCAGACCAUUCAUAGAUUCAUGUAACCGUAGAGAUUCAUGGUUGAGUAGUUGAGCACCUGACUUCUAUGGGAAAAGCAGCGCUCUUCAAGUUACUGCCUAAUUAACAAACACACUUCAUGGAUUGAGGAUUUAAAGGGGAAGAAUGGUCAUGCUUAGUACAAUUGAAUGCAUAUUUGCUACUAAUUACAUAUACCUCACAUUUUCUCUUAGAGACCAACUGCUUUAAAAAUAUUUUAUUAAAUGUUUUUGUUACCCUGACAGAGAUACAUUCCUUUAAGGGUGUUUUCAGCAAAACAUUCAAGUUUUCAGGAAGUAUUAUCUUUCUUUCCUUUUACCCCUUUCCCAUUUCCAUGAAAUUAAAAGGAAAUGCAUAGCCAAGUGUUUUUUCCCAGAAGAAAAUAAUAAGAAAUAUGCUGAUUUUACAGAACAGUAUGAACAGUUAUAAGGGUCUAUGUAAAAGGCAGCGUGUGUUCAUUCUCCAUGCAUACUAUUAGUAAAAAUGAAUGGACUUUCUCCUCAUCUGUUUUUAUUUAGAGCAGGACCUUCUUGCAUUGAAUUUCCUGUGUCAGCUGUGUUCUAAUUCUGUAAAGCCUUUGGUUAAGGAACAGCUCUGACUCUAUAUCCCUAUCUUUUCCUUUCCCAUGUCUUAAUUUUGAGUUCUUAUCACUCUGAUAAUAAGCAGACAUUUCUGAAAAUCAGAAAUCCUGCAGUUCCACUUUAGUUUUUCUUUCUCUUCCACUACCUUUCCUCUCUUAGAACAGUAAAUAUGUCAGAUGGGAACCUAAAGUCAACCUCUGUGCUGUCUUGCUCUGACUUAAAUGCUCUCAUCCAAGUAGGUGGCAUUUCUCAUGAGGGGCCAGACAGAGUUAUGGAACACCACAAGCAGGGUAGCCUUCGGAUUUGACUUGAGAAAUUAGGAAGAAUCUGGUGGUCCUGACUAAGAGUGCCAGUGAUAAAAAUCCAGAAAAAAAUAGAGGUGAUGCUAACUUGUAUGUUUUGGAUUUUGUAACUUUGUUCUUGACAUGUUAUAACUCUGUAAAACGGAGCUAUAAAAUAGAUUAGACAGUUUACAUAUUUUUUAAAAUCUGAAUGAGUUCAUAUAGUUCAGCUAAAGAUGAAACACUGAUAAAAUUCAGUCAGUAUCACUAUUGAUUUGACAACAUUUCUCCUGCUCCUCUUUUGUCUGCUGACUCCUGCCAGCAAAAUAAAGUAGAUUUACUAGUACACUAUAAUCUUUAGAGUUCUUACAAGGCACAAACAAGUGAGGAAAAUCCUGGAAGCUUAGAUUAGAUUGUAAAUAUGAAAUAUUGCAAACUGAUAGCUUAAGGCUGGCACCAAAGGGUUUAAGAAUUGAAUGUUCAUAUCACCCUCUACUAAAUAUGUAGGACACUUACCGUGAGACUGGGGAUUAGGGAUUCACAACAUUAUAAAGGGUAAAAAAAAAAUCCUUUCUAUACAGCCAACUAUUGAUCUCUACAAAUUGUCCGUAUAGCCUCUCUGUUAAAUACGCCUAUAAAUAGGAUCAACUUUGAAAUAGAAAUAUUUUAGGUUAAGCUUCAGGCCAUCCCUGUGAACUUUAUUUACACACACACACUCAAAUAUAUGUAUAAAAACCUGCAAAAAAUAUAUAGCCACAUUUGUGUAAAUAUGUAUACACACAUAUAUACGUAUGUAUUUAUAUACACAUUUCUAAGACAGUGUGAUAGGUGAACACUUACGUUUCCUAAACUUUAGCUUCAUUAUGUUAUCCUUUGUUCCCUAGAUUCACUAAAUAUUUCACAGCAGGCUCAAGGUCU
rnacentral:lncRNA from 1 species